rnacentral:rRNA from 1 species
CAUUUAUGGAGAGUUUGAUCCUGGCUCAGAGUGAACGCUGGCGGCGUGCCUAACACAUGCAAGUCGAACGA